GACGAACGCUGGCGGCGUGCUUAACACAUGCAAGUCGAACGCUGAAGCACCAGCUUGCUGGUGUGGAUGAGUGGCGAACGGGUGAGUAAUACGUGAGUAACCUGCCCUUGACUCUGGGAUAAGCCCGGGAAACUGGGUCUAAUACUGGAUGCUACAUGUCACCGCAUGGUGGUGUGUGGAAAGGGUUUACUGGUCUUGGAUGGGCUCACGGCCUAUCAGCUUGUUGGUGAGGUAAUGGCUCACCAAGGCGACGACGGGUAGCCGGCCUGAGAGGGUGACCGGCCACACUGGGACUGAGACACGGCCCAGACUCCUACGGGAGGCAGCAGUGGGGAAUAUUGCACAAUGGGCGAAAGCCUGAUGCAGCGACGCCGCGUGAGGGAUGACGGCCUCGGGUUGUAAACCUCUUUCAGCAGGGAAGAAGCCACAAGUGACGGUACCUGCAGAAGAAGCGCCGGCUAACUACGU
rnacentral:rRNA from 1 species